rnacentral:rRNA from 1 species
UACGAUGAAGAGUUUGAUCCUGGCUCAGGAUGAACGCUAGCGGCAGGCUUAACACAUGCAAGUCGAGGGGUAUAGUUCUUCGGAACUAGAGACCGGCGCACGGGUGCGUAACGCGUAUGCAAUCUACCUUUUACAGGGGAAUAGCCCAGAGAAAUUUGGAUUAAUGCCCCAUAGUAUAGUUUUUUCGCAUGAAGAGAUUAUUAAAGUUCCAACGGUAAAAGAUGAGCAUGCGUCCCAUUAGCUAGAUGGUAAGGUAACGGCUUACCAUGGCGACGAUGGGUAGGGGUCCUGAGAGGGAGAUCCCCCACACUGGUACUGAGACACGGACCAGACUCCUACGGGAGGCAGCAGUGAGGAAUAUUGGUCAAUGGACGCAAGUCUGAACCAGCCAUGCCGCGUGCAGGAUGACGGUCCUAUGGAUUGUAAACUGCUUUUGUACGAGAAGAAACACUCCAACGUGUUGGAGCUUGACGGUAUCGUAAGAAUAAGGAUCGGCUAACUCCGUGCCAGCAGCCGCGGUAAUACGGAGGAUCCAAGCG